CUGUCUCCAGUCUGACAAAGGUUAUUUGAAUGGACUUAAUCUCCCAGUAGUUGGGAGAUGUUUUAAAAACACAUGCUGUGUUUGAAUUGUGGCUGAGAGGUUUUCUUGGCAAUGUGAGGAGGAAAAUUUUUUCUGCCUCAUUAUUAUUAAUUCAUGGAUUGAGUGUUGGUUCGACCUACAGGCAUAAUAGAUUGGAACUCAGUGAAGACACAGACGUUCCUGUUGAGAGCAACCAGCUAAUGAUUACAGUUUAAAGACAAUUUCUGUGAUCAAGUUGUCAUUUGGAAGAUUAAACCCAUUUCACGAGGACUUGGAGCCUGGUCCUUGCUUUGAGGAAGCAGUGGCUUGUUUCAAGAAGCCACUUCUGAUCUAAGAAUCUACCCAGCAUGCCUAAUCAAGGAGAAGACUGCUAUUUUUUUUUCUAUUCUACAUGUACCAAAGGUGACAGCUGCCCAUUCCGUCACUGUGAAGCUGCACUAGGCAAUGAAACUGUUUGCACAUUAUGGCAAGAAGGGCGCUGUUUUCGACGGGUGUGCAGGUUUCGGCACAUGGAGAUUGAUAAAAAACGCAGUGAAAUUCCUUGUUAUUGGGAAAAUCAGCCAACAGGAUGUCAAAAAUUAAACUGCGUUUUCCAUCACAAUAGAGGACGAUAUGUUGAUGGCCUUUUCCUACCUCCGAGCAAAAGUGUGUUGCCCACUGUGCCUGAGUCACCAGAAGAGGAAGUGAAGGCUAGCCAACUUUCAGUUCAGCAGAACAAAUUGUCUGUCCAGUCCAAUACUUCCCCUCAGCUGCGGAGCGUUAUGAAAGUAGAAAGUUCCGAAAAUGUUCCUAGCCCCAAGCAUCCACCAGUUGUAAUUAAUGCUGCAGAUGAUGAUGAAGAUGAUGAUGAUCAGUUUUCUGAGGAAGGUGAUGAAACCAAAACACCUACCCUGCAACCAACUCCUGAAGUUCACAAUGGAUUACGAGUGACUUCUGUCCGGAAACCUGCAGUCAAUAUAAAGCAAGGUGAAUGUUUGCAUUUUGGAAUAAAAACUCUUGAGGAAAUUAAGUCAAAGAAAAUGAAGGAAAAAUCUGAGGAGCAAGGUGAGGGUUCUUCAGGAGUUUCCAGUCUUUUACUCCACCCUGAGCCUGUUCCAGGUCCUGAAAAAGAAAAUGUCAGGACUGUGGUGAGGACAGUAACUCUCUCCACCAAACAAGGAGAAGAACCCUUGGUUAGAUUGGGCCUUACUGAGACACUGGGGAAACGAAAAUUUUCGACAGGCGGUGACAGUGAUCCUCCAUUAAAGCGUAGCCUGGCACAGAGGCUAGGGAAGAAAGUUGAAGCUCCAGAAACUAACACUGACGAAACACCAAAGAAAGCUCAAGUUUCCAAGUCUCUUAAGGAGCGAUUAGGCAUGUCAGCUGAUCCAAAUAAUGAGGACGCAACAGAUAAAGUUAAUAAAGUUGGUGAGAUCCAUGUGAAGACAUUAGAAGAAAUGCUUCUUGAAAGAGCCAGUCAGAAACAUGGGGAAUCGCAAACUAAACUCAAGACAGAAGGACCUUCAAAAACUGAUGAUUCUACUUCAGGAGCAAGAAGCUCCUCCACUAUCCGUAUCAAAACCUUCUCUGAGGUCCUGGCUGAAGAAGAACAUAGGCAGCAGGAAGCAGAGAGACAAAAAAGCAAAAAGGAUACAACUUGCAUCAAGCUAAAGACUGAUAGUGAAAUUAAAAAAACAGUAGUUUUGCCACCCAUUGUUGCCAGCAAAG
rnacentral:lncRNA from 1 species